rnacentral:rRNA from 1 species
GAUGAACGCUGGCGGCGUGCCUAAUACAUGCAAGUCGAGCGAACAGACGAGGAGCUUGCUCCUCUGACGUUAGCGGCGGACGGGUGAGUAACACGUGGAUAACCUACCUAUAAGACUGGGAUAACUUCGGGAAACCGGAGCUAAUACCGGAUAAUAUAUUGAACCGCAUGGUUCAAUAGUGAAAGACGGCUUUGCUGUCACUUAUAGAUGGAUCCGCGCCGCAUUAGCUAGUUGGUAAGGUAACGGCUUACCAAGGCAACGAUGCGUAGCCGACCUGAGAGGGUGAUCGGCCACACUGGAACGGAGACACGGUCCAGGCGCCUACGGGAGGCAGCAGUAGGGAAUCUUCCGCAGUGGGCGAAAGCCUGACGGAGCAGCGCCGCGUGAGUGAUGAAGGUCUUCGGAUCGUAAAACUCUGUUAUUAGGGAAAAACAAAUGUGUAAGUAACUAUGCACGUCUUGACGGUACCUAAUCAGAAAGCCACGGCUAACUACGUG